rnacentral:lncRNA from 1 species
AAUAAAUCAGGAUCAAAAAAAACAUGCCACUUGGUACUUUUCAAUGUAUGUUACCAUCUUAUGGAACGCUGCUGUUCAGCCUUCUGAUUUAGAAAGAUGACUUUCAAAGGAGACCAUAAUGCUGAUAUUUUUGCCUACAGAUUUUAAUUUAAAAUUUCAGCCAGUGAGCAGUUGUUUAGUGGCCGCUGUGUUCCAGGAACUGGGUCACGAAAAGCAGGACAAUUUGUUAACAACUAUUAGCACUGCUUUACAUUCUUGCUACCCAUUAUACUUGGUAGUUGUAUAUUUUUAUUUUAAGCAGAUUAUUUACUUUUCACAUUAGCAUUCAGUUAGUUACUUUUUGACAAAUUCACCUGUACCUCAGUAAAAGCAUGUAGAGGAUUCUACACAUACCUCAGAGACAGAGAGUGACAUGGUCAGGAAAGGAGGUGACAUUAGUACUGGUCCUUAUGGGAUAUUCAGAUUUUAAUUAUUUCCAGCCUAUUGGUGUUUUAUUUUGUUUGUUUGUUUUGUUUUGUUUUGACAGAGUCUCGCUCUGUCGCCUAGGCUGGAGUGCAGUGGCGCAAUUUCAACUCACUGCAACCUCCGCCUCCUGGGUUAAAGUGAUUCUCCUGCCUCAACCUCCUGAGUAGCUGGGACUAUAGGUGUGUGCCACCACAGCCACUUAAUUUUUGUGUUUUUUGUAGAGGUGGGUUUUCACCACAUUAGCCAGGAUGGUCUCGAUCUCAUUACUUUGUGAUCUGCCCACCUUGGCCUCCCAAAGUGCUGGGGUAACAGGAGUGAGCCACUGCCUCCUGUCUGAUGUGUUCUAGUUCUAUUUCACCAGCUCAACUGAUGUAUCUCUCAAAAAGGAAAGAGAGAGGAGGAGAGAAGAGGAGAGAAGAUAAAAUAGAGAAGAGAAGAGUAAGGGAGGAAAAGAAAGACAAAAGGAAAGGGAAAGGGAAGACAAUAUCAAGAACCACCUUUGUGCCCUGCCUCCUAGUCCUGAACUUACUUCCUCUCUGAGAAGCUCCUGCAGUUUUCGCCCUCUGCAGCACAGAAGGUUGCACAUCAUUCCAGCAUUCUCACUCUCCUGGGAUCCUGCGGAGUCUCUUGAACUUUUCUGACUGAUGGAGGCAAUAACUUAAUGUCAACUCUAUAGAGUGUAUGAUUUAUAUAGUCACAGACAGUACAGAAUAAUUUUCCUCUGCCCAGAUUUGUCCACUCAGCUCUCAGCCAACCACUUGCUCACUAAUCUUGAUGGUAACACCAUGCUUUGAUGUGUGCCUUUGCUCUUCCUGGAAAACCUCUAUGCACUUCAGCAUGUCUAACACUCAGUUUACCCACGGAACUUUCCCUCACCCUCCAUGCCUUUGAAGGCAAUGCUCUUCUAAAAUCAGAGUUCAUUACUUCCACCUCUUUUAUGUUUUGAAAAUUUUUCUCACUUACGUAAUUCAAUAACUAUUUACCAAGGCUACUCCAGGUAUUAUAAUAAAAUUAUGAAACAGCAGUAAAUUUAAAAAUGAAAAUGUUUCUGCCUUCUUUAAGCACAUAAUGUAUUGUGUGAAAUAACAAUAGACAAAACAAAGUAGCAUACAUAGUAAUUAGCGCUUUGGAGAAAAACAAAUUGGAGCAGAGAGACACAUUUGAGUAUUGUGCAGUAGUGAAGCAGGUGAUCAGGGGAUCUUUCAUGGAGAAGAAAAUAAGCGAAAAUCUGAAGGAUAUAAAAUUAAGCAAAUAUUUCUCAAGAAGCUAUUGUAUUUCUAAUCCCUAGAUUCUAAAACAAACAAACAAAUAAAUAAAAUAGGUUCCUUAUCUCUAUGUGAUUUAUAUCCUAUGUCAAGCAUUAAAUACCUCAGAAGAAAAACCCUACUUAUUUUUAUCUUUAGCAGGCAAUACAGAGGCAGGUUCAUUGUGCUUAUAAAAGAUUAGAUAAAGAGUUAGAUGUAAGAGCAAUUGAAUAUUUUUCACAUUUUAAAAAAAUUUUAAGUCUUAGUCUCUCCAAAAAAACGUUGUAAAAGAGACAGCCUUGAUAAUCGGAUAGUCCAAGUGCUCCCUCGUAAGUUUCAGACCUCUUUGCAGUUGUCAGGGACAGACAAAUAGUUUCAUCCAGUAACAAAUGAGUAGAUGUGACACGUGUCACUUGUGAGCCAAGGCAUUUAGGAGACCAUGCAUAAGCCUCCAACUUUCUCUCCUUUACCUUUGGCAAGCUCAAAUUCAUAUGUUGAGACAGAAAAGUCAAAAAUGGGGUACCGUGGACCACUGGAUGGAGAAAAGUCCUGCUAGGUUAUAGCAGACUCUUUCAAGAAAGAAAUAAAACUUGUUCUGUUAAGUAACUAAGAUUUUAGAAAUUAUCUGUUACCAUAACAUUGUCCAAUCUAUUUUAUUUUAUUUUAUUGAGACAGAGUUUCCCUCUGUUGCCCAGGCUGGAGUACAGUGGUGUGAUCUCAGCUCACUCCAACCUCUGCCUCCCAGGUUCAUGCAGUUCUCCUGCCUCAGCCUCCUGAGUAGAUGGGGUUACAGGGGCCUGCCACCAUGCCAUGGUAAAUGCAAGGAACAUUUUAUUCAACCGAACCCUGGUAAGUGUUAUACUCUUGAUCACUCACUUUUUCAUUGGCACCUAUUUUCUUGUCCAUGCCUAAAGUGCCAGUAUCCCAAGGGCAUAAUUCUCAAUGCAUAAAUCCAUUCACUCUACACUUCCCAGGGAUCUAAUCCACUCUUGAUUUUAACUGCCACCUACAUGGUUAAUGUCAUUUAUAUCUUUAUUUAUAGCCAUAACUUGUCUUCUGAGCUUCAGGUACAUAUGUGCAUAUUGCUGGUAAACAUCUGUAAUUUUUGUAUUUUUAGUAGAGAUGGGGUUUUGCUAUGUUGGCCAGGUUGGUCUCAAACUCCUGACCUCAGGUGAUCUACACCCCCUCAGCCUCCCAAAGUGUUGGGAUUACAGGCCUGAGCCACCAUGCCCAGCCCAAUCUAUUUUUAUCAAAUGAGAGAGUGAGCAUAUCAUUGUCAGGAGUAUAUAAUCAGUAGUUUUAAGCAUCACCAAUUAAGGUCUGGUAGAAACAGAACUGAGUUCAC